GUCACCGUGACACCUCUGGGCUUAGCCAGUCAGGCCCUGGGGCUCAGGGCAGGAAGGAUAAGACGAGGAGGAGAAGAAUCCUCUCUCUCACUCCUCGACCUCUCUUCCAGACGUUCCUGAAGUGAGAGCUCGGUGGUCUGAGAGGGAACAAGGCAGAUAAAGCGAUCUCUGAGGACUACCCUGGAAACAGGAGUGGUGCUCCUUCGUGAAGCCGUCUGUGGCGUCAGCGAGUCAUGGAGAAAG